AAAUAAGGGGGUCGUUACAUAAAGGGGUACAGCAGGGAAGAAGGAAUUCCAUAUUUAAACAGUUGAGAGUGGACAUGCAGUGAUGUACUCUGAGAAAUAUUUAAUCGGUGCCCUUUCCUCAGAGUACAUGACAGUCAGUGCUGGCCAGUUGGCCUCCUGACACUCUAUGACACAGAGGGAAGGAACCCCAUCCAAGUUUACUUUCCAUCCAUCUAUUUUUGAAUCCUUUUAACACUUCAGAGGGAGAGAAAGAACAACAGAACAGGCAGGCAGGCUGUGUUUAACCCCCAAACCGCUUGCAGAGCCUAAAGCUUGAGAGUAAACACAGUUUCUUUGGCACCUUGGGAUACAACAUAAACACUGCAUUUCACCAUAUCACUCAUCGGUGGAUUCCACCCUCCAGCAUACUUACAUAUGUACGGACAAGAGAGAGACACAGAGAGGACUGUGCUGAGAUGUUUAGAGAGGAAAAUUCGGGAUUCAAACUGCGGCAGUAUUAACAAGGAAAGGGAAGGUAGGGCAGCCCAGAAGACAAAGGAGCUGCUCGCACAAGUUUCAAAAGAGACGGUGUAGAGACACACAAACAUUCCUAAUUCCUUGCCUUGGCUGGAUAACACGGCUGCAAAAGGACCAUAAAAUCUCAAGCCUCAAAGUAACCUUACAGAUCACCUAGGUCAGCAUCUCCCAAAAGGUGUUCCACGAAACACUGUUGCCAGGAAAGUUAGCAGCAUACCUCUGCAGGAACCAUUUUUUAAAUUUAAUCUGUCAUAAUCAGCAGAGAAGAGCAAAUCUCUGAGUGAGGAAAACAGAGUGCGGCAUCUCCAGGCUGAUAAGGAGCUACACGAUGAGGGCGCUUCUGCGCAGGAGGCAUCAGACGGUGCCUUGCCCGAAUCAGUCAGCGAGCAAUCAGAACGGUUUCUUCCCAGAUGUUCAGGAACCAUUGGAGAUGAUGGUGAUCUCCUCAUCUGAGUGACUACACCAAGUAUGAUCAAAAGUUUACUUCCUCAAUCCAGGGGCCAAAGGAAAGACAGAUGUAUUUCACUUUCUAUUCGGUUGGUAGAUGGAAAAGGAGAAAAUAUCUUGUUUUUACAAGUGGCUGGUAAGUGUGACACAACUUCCUACUUGUUGAAAAAGUACAAAAUUAAAUGUGUAAAUCUCAGAGAAACACCAACACCUAAAAAGUAUCCCUGCUGCACAAAAUGGGUAUCAACACUUUGUAGGACACAAUAACUUCAGGUGGAAAGUGGCCCUGAACCUCUGGUGACAUAAACCAAUACAGCAGCCCCGGAAGGUAUUUCAGACAACAACCCCUAUAGAAGCUCCCCCAAAGCACACACUCCAAAUGGCAGUGUGACCAGUGGCACUGGUCCUGGCCACUGAAUUCCAGCCUUCACUUUUAGAAAGGUGACAACUUAUGUAAAUUCCCUUUUAAGCAUUUUCCUUCAGUAGCUGAGAUUCCUAAGAUGAGAAAAAAAUGAAUUUGGGUUGCUUUUAUAUCUGACUGACUCUGGGGUUAGAAACUACCCAGCACAAUGGUUUUCAAACCCCAUGUCCUGUGGCACAUGCAGUAAGACUUUGCUCUAAAGGGCAGUAGAGAUGGCCAUAAUUUGUGGCUCAACUCAUGACAAGUACACUUCAUUGCAAAUCCAUAUUUGUCUAAAGCUGAAUAAAUAUCCCUAUACAUGCAACAAUCUGAAAUACAGGUUAGAGAAGCCUAGCUACAAGCUGCUUAUGAACAUGAAGCCUCAGAACAAAUAAAGGCAACUGACACUGAGCAGGCACAUGACCUCAACGAAAACAUACAUCAAGCAAAAGCACUUACAAAACCAAGUAGUGAAGGAAUUAAAGUUUUUCUAGAUCAUGUAUUAAACCUAAAAGGGAUCCUAUUAUGCUUUUUAAAACUAAUACAUAAAUACCAUACAAAAAAAACUUCAGCUAUUGUUAAAAGACAAAAUUCAACUGAGUAAAUUUAAGGACUUACUGGCUUUACUCAACGAUUCAUGAAACGGGCAGCAUGCCAUCUAGCAGAUGAAAGGUGCUCUGAGGAGUGUACAACACGGAGGCUUUUACAGACAGGCGGAAGCAGGGCAAGUAAAUUAUUCUAGCAAAGAAUGGAUUGUUUCAGACAAGGUCACCUUCCACUGGGGGAAGGCAGGGGUCUAUGAGGCCAGACUACCUCAUUGGUGCUGAUCAGGUAAUUCCAGAUUGACCAGUUAAAGGCUCCACUCCUGGGAGAGGCUGAAAUUGCUAUCAGGCUAGAUAUUAAGUCUUGGCUUGCAGACGCAGGGUUUAAGCCCCAGUGACUCCAUUUUGGGCCCAUUUCUUUUUUUCAAAUAAAUACAAAAGGGUGUAGAGGGAAAAGUCUCCUUUCUACACCAUACUGGCCUUCCCACAAGGCUACUCAUCUCUGGCCUCGCCUCCUGAGGCAGUCUACACAUAAACAAGCACUAAAGCACCUUCUGCUUUUUAACUCUAGGAGGAGCCCACCCUAUUUUUAACACCCAACUACCUCUGAGUUUGCAGGGGUACUGGAAGAUACCAUCCUUUUUUCCCCCUAAAAUCACUUACUAAGAAGGAAACAGGGAGAAGUCCUCCCCCAUGAUUCCCAGUAAAUGUCACUUUUUUAUCUUAAUUUAGGUUCCACUCUGCGAAAAGAAAACAAAUGAAACCCAGGGUAGAUGUCAAUCAUCAUGAAAGCUGUUCUGCUGAAACCCUCC